CAAACCCAGGACCCUUCAGUCUGCAGGCUGAUGCUCUAUCCACUGAGCCAAACCGGCUAGGGCACACCUUCAAAAAAAUUUUAAAAAAAUAGACAAAAACCAAACACAUAUUCUGAGAUAUAUACAUAGAUGCUAAUGCAACCUACAAAAAAAAGCAAGGAAAUUCAGAAUAGAGAUUACACAGAAUGGGGAAAGGAGGUUAAUUCAACCAGAAGUAGCACGAAAGGAACAUUUAUGAUACUAACAAUGUUCUAUUUUUUUCUGCAACAGAUAAGUCUAACAGUUUAGAAUAUGGAGUUAGUAACAAUGGUUUCUCUAUUCUUUUAUCUUCUAGUGUUUCAAGUUUGAUCCCCAGACUCUCCUCUCCAUAGCUUCAUCUCUUACCCGAAUCUAUACUGAGAACAUCAUCAUCUUCAUCAGGAAUCUCAAUUAUUUCUGUAGGCUGGGAAGCUUCGUCCUCAGAACUACUGUCCCGUCCUUACCUGGAUGCAUCAUCAAAGAGCUGGUCAACAUGGGCCACCUCAGUCUCCUUCUGUAUUACCCACGUCUCCAACUCUGCUAGCUGCUUCCUGCGUUGCUGUAUACAGUCCAUCUUUUCUAGUUCUUUAUCAAUGAACUCCCGAAGCUCCUCCAUGGAGAUACCCAGCUCUUCAACCACUGCUUGUUGCAGCUCUGCAAUCUCUUCACACUCCAUUGCAGCGGUUUCUGCCUCCAAACCAAGGCACCCAGGGAGGGAGGACAUGCUGUUGUCCUCUACAUGGAACAAAAAACUGAAAUUAUCUUUGAAGUCAUUAUAACCACAACAGAGAAUUCCAGGCCCCAAAUAAAACUCAUUCCCACUCCUUAGUAUUCAAAUACAGUUAAAGUUGAUUCUAUGUUCCCUCUCUCCAUUCUCCAGUAUAUGAUACUGAGAUUUUGUAGUUCUCAUCUUAUGCUAUAUAGACUAUAGUCCUGAGUAAGACUUAAAGGUUUGAGAGGGCAUAUCCUAGUAUUAUGCAACAGGGGACUACGGGAAAUAACGUUUUGGAAAACUGAAGAGAACCGAUCUACUGAGGAAAGACACAGGCACGCGGGCUGGGCUUCCAGAACACCUUAAUAAAGCCAGUGUUGCAAUAAA